rnacentral:rRNA from 1 species
GGCGCGCAAACUUUACAAUGCGAGCAAUCGUGAUAAGGAAACCCUGAGUGCCUGUUGAUGCAGGCUGUUCAUUAGUUUAAAUUGCUGGUGAAGAAAGGGCAGGGCAAGACCGGUGCCAGCCGCCGCGGUAAUACCGGCUGCUCGAGUGAUGGCCACUAUUACUGGGUUUAAAGCGUCCGUAGCUUGAUUGUUAGGUCUCUUGGGAAAUCUUCAGGCUUAACCUUAAGGCGUCUAAGAGAUACCGGCAAUCUUGGGACUGGGAGAGGUAAACCGUACUUCGGGGGUAGGAGUGAAAUCUUGUAAUCCUCGAGGGACGACCUAUGGCGAAGGCAGUUUACCAGAACAGCUUCGACAGUGAGGGACGAAAGCUGGGGGAGCAA